rnacentral:rRNA from 1 species
GAUGAACGCUGGCGGCGUGCCUAAUACAUGUGAGUCGAGCGAACAGACGAGGAGCUUGCUCCUCUGACGUUAGCGGCGGACGGGUGAGUAACACGUGGAUAACCUACCUAUAAGACUGGGAUAACUUCGGGAAACCGGAGCUAAUACCGGAUAAUAUAUUGAACCGCAUGGUUCAAUAGUGAAAGACGGUUUUGCUGUCACUUAUAGAUGGAUCCGCGCCGCAUUAGCUAGUUGGUAAGGUAACGGCUUACCAAGGCAACGAUGCGUAGCCGACCUGAGAGGUGUGUGCGGCCACACGGAAUGUGGGACCCGGCCCAGCCUCCGAGGGAGGCAGGGGGUGGGGAUUCUCCCAGAAGGGGGGAAACCCAGAGGGCACACCGCGGGGUGGGUGAGAAAUGUCUGGGUUCAGUAAAACUCUUUUAUGGGGAAAAAACAAUUGUGAAAGUAACUAGCCUCGUUUGGAGGGUCCCUAAGCAGAAACCCGCGCCUAACUACG